rnacentral:rRNA from 1 species
UUCUUUUAUAUGGGAAUAAAGUUUUCCACGUGUGGAAUUUUGUAUGUACCAUAUGAAUAAGGAUCGGCUAACUCCGUGCCAGCAGCCGCGGUAAUACGGAGGAUCCGAGCGUUAUCCGGAUUUAUUGGGUUUAAAGGGAGCGUAGGUGGACAGUUAAGUCAGUUGUGAAAGUUUGCGGCUCAACCGUAAAAUUGCAGUUGAUACUGGCUGUCUUGAGUACAGUAGAGGUGGGCGGAAUUCGUGGUGUAGCGGUGAAAUGCUUAGAUAUCACGAAGAACUCCGAUUGCGAAGGCAGCUCACUGGACUGCAACUGACACUGAUGCUCGAAAGUGUGGGUAUCAAACAGGAUUAGAUACCCUGGUAGUCCACACAGUAAACGAUGAAUACUCGCUGUUUGCGAUAUACAGUAAGCGGCCAAGCGAAAGCAUUAAGUAUUCCACCUGGGGAGUACGCCGGCAACGGUGAAACUCAAAGGAAUUGACGGGGGCCCGCACAAGCGGAGGAACAUGUGGUUUAAUUCGAUGAUACGCGAGGAACCUUACCCGGGCUUAAAUUGCAUUUGAAUAUAUUGGAAACAGUAUAGCCGUAAGGCAAAUGUGAAGGUGCUGCAUGGUUGUCGUCAGCUCGUGCCGUGAGGUGUCGGCUUAAGUGCCAUAACGAGCGCAACCCUUAUCUUUAGUUACUAACAGGUCAUGCUGAGGACUCUAGAGAGACUGCCGUCGUAUGAUGUGAGGAAGGUGGGGAUGACGUCAAAUCAGCACGGCCCUUACGUCCGGGGCUACACACGUGUUACAAUGGGGGGUACAGAAGGCAGCUACCUGGUGACAGGAUGCUAAUCCCAAAAGCCUCUCUCAGUUCGGAUCGAAGUCUGCAACCCGACUUCGUGAAGCUGGAUUCGCUAGUAAUCGCGCAUCAGCCAUGGCGCGGUGAAUACGUUCCCGGGCCUUGUACUCGCUGCACGUCAAGCCAUGAAAGCCGGGGGUACCCGAAGUACGUAACCGCAAGGAGCGUCCUAGGGUAAAACUGGUAAUUGGGGCUAA